rnacentral:misc_RNA from 1 species
CAGCCGCGUAAUUCCAGCUCCAAUAGCGUAUAUUAAAGUUGUUGCAGUUAAAAAGCUCGUAGUUGAAUUUCGGGAUUGGCGCAUCGGUCGUGCCUCACGGGGUAUGAACUGGUGCAGUCAAUUUCUCACCUUCUGGAGAACCGCGAUGUCCUUAAUUGGAUGCCGCGGGGAACCAGGACCUUUACUUUGAAAAAAUUAGAGUGUUUAAAGCAGGCAUUUUUGCUUGAAUACAUUAGCAUGGAAUAAUAAAAUAGGACGGCAUGGUUCUAUUUUGUUGGUUUCUAGGACCACCGUAAUGAUUAAUAGUGAUAGUUGGGGGCAUUAGUAUUCAAUUGUCAGAGGUGAAAUUCUUGGAUUUAUUGAAGACUAACUACUGCGAAAGCAUUUGCCAAGGAUGUUUUCAUUAAUCAAGAACGAAAGUUAGGGGAUCGAAGACGAUCAGAUACCGUCGUAGUCUUAACCAUAAACUAUGCCGACUAGGAAUCAGACGAUGUUAAUUUUUUAAUGACUCGUUUGGCACCUUACG